rnacentral:rRNA from 1 species
AUUCAAAUCCUUUAACGAGGAUCUAGCGGAGGGCAAGUCUGGUGCCAGCAGCCGCGGUAAUUCCAGCUCCGCAGGUGUAUAUCUAUGCUGCUGCGGUUAAAAAGCUCGUAGUUGGAUCUGCGUGCUCGGAACUGGUUGGCUCACUGAGUUCAAACUGGUCUCCGGCGCUUUAUUGGCUGGUUUUCCCUUGAUGCUCUUAACCGGGUGUCUUGGGUGGCUAGCACGUUUACUUUGAAAAAAUUAGAGUGCUCAAUACAGGCGUAAAGCCUUGAAUAGUGGUGCAUGGAAUAAUAGAAUAGGACCUCGGCUCUAUUUUGUUGGUUUUCGGAACGCGAGGUAAUGAUUAAGAGGGACAGACGGGGGCAUUCGUAUUGCGACGUUAGAGGUGAAAUUCUUGGAUCGUCGCAAGACGGACGACUGCGAAAGCAUUUGCCAAGAAUGUUUUCAUUAAUCAAGAACGAAAGUUAGAGGUUCGAAGGCGAUCAGAUACCGCCCUAGUUCUAACCGUAAACGAUGCCAACUAGCGAUUCGCAGGCGUUAAACAACGACCUUGCGGGCAGCUUCCCGGAAACGAAAGUGUUCGGGUUCCGGGGGAAGUAUGGUUGCAAAGCUGAAACUUAAAGGAAUUGACGGAAGGGCACCACCAGGAGUGGAGCCUGCGGCUUAAUUUGACAACACGGGAAAACUCACCCGGCCCGGACACCGUAAGGAUUGACAGAUUGAGAGCUCUUUCUUGAUUCGGUGGGUGGUGGUGCAUGGCCGUUCUUAGUUGGUGGAGCGAUUUGUCUGGUUUAUUCCGAUAACGAACGAGACUCUGGCCUACUAAAUAGUGGGCGGAUUCUUUCUGUCCGCAACACUUCUUAGAGGGACAAGCAGUGUUCAGCCGCACGAGAUUGAGCAAUAACAGGUCUGUGAUGCCCUUAGAUGUCCGGGGCUGCACGCGCGCUACACUGAAGGAAUCAGCGUGCUUUCUGACCUUGCCCGAAAGGGCUGGGUAACCCGAUGAAAAUCCUUCGUGAUUGGGAUAGGGACUUGCAAUUAUUUCCCUUGAACGAGGAAUCCCCAGUAAGUGUGGGUCAUAAGCUCGCGUUGAUUACGUCCCUGCCCUUUGUACACACCGCCCGUCGCUGCCCGGAACUGAGCCGUUUCGAGAAGAACAGGGACCGUCGUCGAAGGGCCUUAACGGGCUUUUCUCUGAUAGAAACUGUUUUAAUCGCAGUGGCUUGAACCGGGCAA